rnacentral:rRNA from 1 species
UACGGAGGGCGCAAGCGUUAUCCGGAUUUAUUGGGUUUAAAGGGUCCGUAGGCGGAUCUGUAAGUCAGUGGUGAAAUCUCAUAGCUUAACUAUGAAACUGCCAUUGAUACUGCAGGUCUUGAGUAAGGUAGAAGUAGCUGGAAUAAGUAGUGUAGCGGUGAAAUGCAUAGAUAUUACUUAGAACACCAAUUGCGAAGGCAGGUUACUAUGUCUUAACUGACGCUGAUGGACGAAAGCGUGGGGAGCGAACAGG